rnacentral:tRNA from 1 species
GUUAAUAUAGUUUUAACAAAAACAUUAGAAUGUGAAUUUAAAAAUAGAGGUUUAAACCCUCUUACUAACCG